rnacentral:rRNA from 1 species
GGUGGCCCGGCCUUUAAAGGUCCAAGUCGCACGAUGAAGCCCCUUCGGGGGUGGAUUAGUGGCGAACGGGUGAGUAACACGUGGGCAAUCUGCCCUGCACUCUGGGACAAGCCCUGGAAACGGGGUCUAAUACCGGAUACGACACUCUCCCGCAUGCGAUGAGUGUGGAAAGCUCCGGCGGUGCAGGAUGAGCCCGCGGCCUAUCAGCUUGUUGGUGAGGUAACGGCUCACCAAGGCGACGACGGGUAGCCGGCCUGAGAGGGCGACCGGCCACACUGGGACUGAGACACGGCCCAGACUCCUACGGGAGGCAGCAGUGKGSAAGUAAUUGCCAGCAAUGGGACGUCAUAGCCUGAAUGCCAGCGACGCUSGCRUGAKGKAUGACGRCYUUCGAGGAUUGUAAACCUCUWUGCAGCAKGAGAAAGAAGCUGCAAGUGACGGUACCUUGCAGAAGAAGCGCCGGCUAACUACGUGCCAGCAGCCGCGGUAAUACGUAGGGCGCGAGCGUUGUCCGGGAAUUAUUGGGCGUAAAGAGCUCGUAGGCGGCUUGUCGCGUCGGUUGUGAAAGCCCGGGGCUUAACCCCGGGUCUGCAGUCGAUACGGGCAGGCUAGAGUUCGGUAGGGGAGAUCGGAAUUCCUGGUGUAGCGGUGAAAUGCGCAGAUAUCAGGAGGAACACCGGUGGCGAAGGCGGAUCUCUGGGMCGAUACUUGACGCUGARGAGCGAAAGCSUGGGGAGCGAACASGAUUAGAUACCCUGGUAGUCCACGCCGUAAACGGUGGGCACUAGGUGUGGGCGACAUUCCACGUCGUCCGYGCCGCWRCUAACGYAUUAAKUCGCCCCKCCUGGGGASUACGGCCGCACWGGCURAAACUCAAAGKRAUUGACGGGSGCCCGMACAAGCGRYSGAGYAUGUGGMUUMAUUCSACGCARCGCGAASWACCUUACMWWGGCUUGACMUACACYGGWMWGCAUCWGAGAURGUGCCCYCCUUGWSGUCRGUSWRCWGGUGGAUGCAUGGYYGUCSKCACGCUCSYGUCGUGAGUAUGUUGGGUUAAGUCCCGCAACGAGCGCAACCCUUGUCCCGUGUUGCCAGCAGGCCCUUGUGGUGCUGGGGACUCACGGGAGACCGCCGGGGUCAACUCGGAGGAAGGUGGGGACGACGUCAAGUCAUCAUGCCCCUUAUGUCUUGGGCUGCACACGUGCUACAAUGGCCGGUACAAUGAGCUGCGAUACCGCGAGGUGGAGCGAAUCUCAAAAAGCCGGUCUCAGUUCGGAUUGGGGUCUGCAACUCGACCCCAUGAAGUCGGAGUCGCUAGUAAUCGCAGAUCAGCAUUGCUGCGGUGAAUACGUUCCCGGGCCUUGUACACACCGCCCGUCACGUCACGAAAGUCGGUAACACCCGAAGCCGGUGGCCCAACCCCUGUGGAGGAGCGCGAAUAACAGGUCAC